UCCAAAGAUAGAAGCCAAAUGCUACACUGACAUAAUAUUUUUAACAAAGUUUUAAUUUUUAGGUAACACAAUUUUGCUGAGCACGAAUCCAAUUUUAAUAACGCGGCGGGCUUCAACAUAUUUAUAUUGCAAAGAAACACAGAACUAGUUUGGACAUUGGUAUCUUUUCUGAAGGGAAAGUGCAUCUAGUUGGAUGCGUUAAACAGGUUGUCAUACCCGUUCCCAUUAGCAACGAGGAGAGACAAACUUCUUUGAAAAAACAUUAUGCAAUUACCAAAAAGCUUCAGUGGCUGUCAUUAAAAUUCUUCAACUGUCGACAAUGCACAUAAUUGAUGAAGACUUUUAAACUAGACAUUUUUGAAUGGAUAAGUGUAUUCUUUUCAGUAAAACAUCCAAAGUGUCGCCUCGCCAAAUUACGUACAUUUUCAUUUGUAAGUAUUAUUUUCUAGU